UCACGGAGGAAAAGAAACCAACAGGGAUUGCCUUAGUAGCGGCGAGUGAAGCGGCAAAAGCUCAAAUUUGAAAUCUGGCACUUUCAGUGUCCGAGUUGUAAUUUGAAGAAGGUAUCUUUGGGUCUGGCUCUUGUCUAUGUUUCUUGGAACAGAACGUCACAGAGGGUGAGAAUCCCGUGCGAUGAGAUGUCCCAGACCUAUGUAAAGUUCCUUCGAAGAGUCGAGUUGUUUGGGAAUGCAGCUCUAAGUGGGUGGUAAAUUCCAUCUAAAGCUAAAUAUUGGCGAGAGACCGAUAGCGAACAAGUACAGUGAUGGAAAGAUGAAAAGAACUUUGAAAAGAGAGUGAAAAAGUACGUGAAAUUGUUGAAAGGGAAGGGCUUGAGAUCAGACUUGGUAUUUUGUAUGUUACUCUCUCGGGGGUGGCCUCUACAGUUUACCGGGCCAGCAUCAGUUUGAGCGGUAGGAUAAGUGCAAAGAAAUGUGGCACUGCUUCGGUAGUGUGUUAUAGUCUUUGUCGAUACUGCCAGCUUAGACUGAGGACUGCGGCUUCGGCCUAG
rnacentral:rRNA from 1 species